rnacentral:miRNA from 1 species
GAUUGCAAGGGCUAGUGAUUUG